UUCUGGACUGUGGGAUUCACGGUUGUUCUCCUCCUCUCCAUCCACCAGGGCUUGACUUCAGGUGCAGAAGAAUUCCCCAGCCCCCCAAGGAUUUGAGACCCAUCAGCUUUCCUCACCUGGUUUAGCCGGCCGGUUGAAGCCGUUGCUUGAACCCCUGUUGCAUGCUGACAGCUUCUGGAAGCCACAGUUGCUUAUGUUCUGUGUCAUGUACCUCGAUAUUUUUUGUAGUCUUUUUUCAUUUCUCCCCCAUUACUAUUAAGGAAUUUUCCUUUGUAAUUUUGGUUGUCUAUAUUUCUAAGCACCUGUUUACAUGUACCUGUUUAAAGCAAAAUAAAAGUUUAAAAAAAGAGAGAGAAGAAGAAAAAAGAAAGAAAGGCAGUCUCAGAGGACAACGGUAUUCUAAGAUCAUUCUGUGUUAUUAAAGAUGAUUGAGGAUUAU